UGACGGACCGUCGGCCCGCGCCGGCGACUCGCCGAAUGAGUUCUGACCUAUCAACUCGAGACGGCGGGGUAGAGGCCCGCCGCGGUAACGACGGGUAACGGGAAGUCAGGGUUCGAUUCCGGAGAGGGAGCCCGAGAAACGGCUACCAUCCAGAAGGCAGCAGGCGCGCAACUUACCCUAAUCUCGAUUCGAGGAGGUAGUGACAAGAAAUACCGAUGCGGGACCCUACGGGUGCCGCGUUCGGAAUGAGUACGAUUCGAACCACCUAACGAGGUACGAUCGGAGGGCAAGUCUGGUGCCAGCAGCCGCGGUAAUUCCAGCUCCAAUAGCGUACGUUAAAAGUUGCUGCAGUUAAAAAGCUCGUAGUUGAACGUUCGGGUUCCGCGGGACGGGGCCGCCCCGCGAGGGACGGCGCCGCCCCGGGGCUCGUGAUAUCUCAUCUCGCCGCCCGUCGCGAGGCGGACGGAGGGGAUGGAUGAGGUUACCUGGAAAAAAAUCGGGGCGAUCUAGGCGGGCGAACCUCGCCAACGAACGAUCGGACAUGG
rnacentral:rRNA from 1 species